CAUCCCCUGAGAAUUCUCUCGCCUGCCUUAGGCACUUAGGCUCCGGGAGAUUGCAAAUAACCUGCUUUCUUUCUGUUCCCGGGCUGCGUUCGGACUCCUGUCAGAUAGUAAAUCCUAAGUAAGGUGGCGUCGGACCCCUGUCAGAGAGUAAAUCUCAAGUAAGGUACCUGCCAUCGGCAGAUUUGAGCUUUCUUCUUGGACACCUAAUACCCACAGUCCUCCAG
rnacentral:lncRNA from 1 species